rnacentral:lncRNA from 1 species
AUGAGGGGCCUGCCUGUCAAUCAGCCUCCGUCGGGCCUCGUCUCCUCCAAACCCGGGGCGCCCGGCUGCGGGGCUGUGAGCUCAGAGCCCAGGGGUGCCUGCCCGCCCGGCUCUCGGGUGGUCACGUCGCUCCAGCCUUGUGUCGGGGUGCCCUCGGCCGGGGCUUGGGGACAAGAGGACGCCCCUCGGGGCCCUGGCGGGAGAGCAGGGCGCCGUGUGCCGCUGCAGCCUCCGCCCUUGGCACGGCCCUCAACCUGUCUGGGCCUCCGCCCCCCGCCCGCGUCCCCUUCCUGCCCCACCUGCCUCCGGGGGCUUCGCACAGCUAACAGAUGUGGAAGAGCUUUUGAAAUAAGCGUGCCAUAUAAAUUCAAGGUGUUUGGGAACGGUUUUCUCAUAAACCUGCCAACACUAUCUUCUUGGAAAAGACAGAAGUCACAAAUCCACCCUCGUUUUAAUUUACCCUGGUGUUUCCUCAGCAGAUGGCUAAAGAGCUGCCCGCCGCGUGCCCCCCGCCCGGCACCCCCGCGGAGCCCGGGGCAGCGGCCCCCCUGGAGCAGCGGCGGCGCCCGGGACGAGGGCAGGCGCCCCUCGCGCUCCCCGUGCUCCCAGGGCCUGCCUUGCUCGGGGCAGUGGGCAGGACAGACGUCCAGAAGCCUGGAUAUUGCUCCACUCCUGCGACCUUGGGGGACUGCACGGCCCGGCAUGGGCCAGCCUGAGCUCCAGAGGAAGGGAGGGAUGUCUGCGGGCCGGGGGACCCUGCGCUCCAUGGGGUACAGGACAGAUGCCAGCCCGGCCCGGCUGGUGGCUGGGUCAGAGCUAUCAGGCCAGUGUCGCGGGAGGUCAGGCCUUCCCUUCAGCCCCACGCAGCCUCCUCCCCCUGCUCCUGGCUCCGAUGCUCCCCGAGUUCACAUCUCGGGCACAAAACGGCUUAAGCUGAACAUAACCCACACCUUUAUUUUAUUUUUUUUAUUUCAAAGAUUUAUUUACUUAUUUAUUCAUGAGAGACCCAGAGAGAGAGAGGCAGGGACACAGGCAGAGGGAGAAGCAGGCUCCAUGUGGGGAGCCCGAUGUGGGACCCGAUCCCGGGACCCCGGGGGUCACGACCUGGGCCGAAGGCAGAUGCUCCACCGCUGA